CAAAUAUCAUACUCUGGUUAAUUUGACCAUGCAGGAUAUCCAGAUACAUGUAAUUAAAUAUAACCAGAUACGUGGUUACAUUAAUUAACCAACUAUGGUAGGAAGUGAGAUAGAAGAAUAACCAGGAAAUUUAAUCUGGAAUAUUAAGUUGACCCAAAUGUACCGCUAUUUCUAUGCGUUAACCAAGAAAAUUUUAACCAUGGUGUUUUAGAGUGCCAGACCAGCUAGGACAGACUCAUUGCCCUGGGGGUUAUAAUUCCGAUAGCAGGGGUGGAAAAGUAUCGGACCACGGGACCAUUUGUCCCAAAAAAUAUUUCCCCAUGCAAGAAAGAAAAAAUUGUAAAAAUUUAGAUAAAAGAGAAAUUCAGAGGGAAAAUUCUAACAAAUAGAAAGAAUGUUACUGUAUGUAUGAUAGAAGUGAGAUAGAAGAAUAACCUUAACCAGGAAACCUAACCUUAACCUUAAUCACUCCCGGAAUAUUAACCAAAAU